rfam:Danio rerio chromosome 25, GRCz11 reference primary assembly.
CCAAAGGCUCUUUUAAGAGCCACUUCAGUACAUCAGAAAAGUGAAAU